AUUCGCUUUAGCCUUUGAGAAAGAUAAAAGCACAAUGUUACUUUUUGCACUCUAUCUUAUCCUAUAUACAAAAAAUCUCCGUCUCGUUGUUACGGUUCAACGCAGUCUCAUAAUUUUUUAUGUAUAUUAUCAUAUGGUCACACUUAAAUCUAUGAUGUAUAUCAUCAUAAAUGUGCACUUUUAUGUAUGAUGUGUAUCAUCACACAAACACAUUGAUAAUCUGACCCGCACCCCACCCCCUUCCAACUCCUAAAUGGACACGUGUACGAUGAUAUACAUCAUAGAUUUAAGUAUGAC